AGAGUUUGAUCCUGGCUCAGAACAAACGCUGACGGCGUGCCUAACACAUGCAAGUCGUACGUGAAAGUUCCGCAAGGAACGAGUAAAGCGGCGAACGGGUGAGUAAUACAUAGGUAAUCUACUUAUAAGUUCGGGAUAACAGUUCGAAAGGAUUGCUAAUACCGGAUAAUGUGCUUAGUCAAAAGAUUAAGUACCAAAGGUGGCCUCUUCACAAUGCUAUCGAUUAUAAAUGAGCCUAUGGACCAUUAGUUAGUUGGCAGGGUAAUAGCCUACCAAGACAAAGAUGGUUAGCUGGUCUGAGAGGAUGCCAGCCACACUGAACUGAGACACGUC
rnacentral:rRNA from 1 species